AGCCAUGCAUGUCUAAGUAUAAGCAAUUAUACAGCGAAACUGCGAAUGGCUCAUUAUAUAAGUUAUCGUUUAUUUGAUAGUACCUUACUACUUGGAUAACCGUGGUAAUUCUAGAGCUAAUACAUGCUGAAAAUCCCGACUCCGGAAGGGAUGUAUUUAUUAGAUUAAAAACCAAUGCCCUCUGGGCUCCUUGGUGAUUCAUAAUAACUUUUCGAAUCGCACGGCCUUGCGCCGGCGAUGGUUCAUUCAAAUUUCUUCCCUAUCAACUUUCGAUGUUUGGGUAUUGGCCAAACAUGGUCGCAACGGGUAACGGAGGGUUAGGGCUCGACCCCGGAGAAGGAGCCUGAGAAACGGCUACUACAUCCAAGGAAGGCAGCAGGCGCGCAAAUUACCCAAUCCCGAUUCGGGGAGGUAGUGACAAUAAAUACUGAUACAGGGCUCUUUUGGGUCUUGUAAUUGGAAUGAGUACAAUUUAAAUCUCUUAACGAGGAACAAUUGGAGGGCAAGUCUGGUGCCAGCAGCCGCGGUAAUUCCAGCUCCAAUAGCGUAUAUUAAAGUUGUUGUGGUUAAAAAGCUCGUAGUUGAACCUUGGGCCUGGCUGGCCGGUCCGCCUCACCGCGUGCACUGGUCCGGCCGGGCCUUUCCCUCUGUGGAACCCCAUGCUCUUCACUGAGUGUGGCGGGGAAACAGGACUUUUACUUUGAAAAAAUUAGAGUGCUCCAGGCAGGCCUAUGCUCGAAUACAUUAGCAUGGAAUAAUAAAAUAGGACGUGUGGUUCUAUUUUGUUGGUUUCUAGGACCGCCGUAAUGAUUAAUAGGGACAGUCGGGGGCAUCAGUAUUCAAUUGUCAGAGGUGAAAUUCUUGGAUUUAUUGAAGACUAACUACUGCGAAAGCAUUUGCCAAGGAUGUUUUCAUUAAUCAGGAACGAAAGUUAGGGGAUCGAAGACGAUCAGAUACCGUCGUAGUCUUAACCAUAAACUAUGCCGACUAGGGAUCGGACGAUGUUAUUUUUUGACGCGUUCGGCACCUUACGAGAAAUCAAAGUGCUU
rnacentral:rRNA from 1 species